rnacentral:rRNA from 1 species
AGCAUAUCAAUAAGCGGAGGAAAAGAAACUAACAAGGAUUCCCCUAGUAACUGCGAGUGAAGCGGGAAAAGCUCAAAUUUAAAAUCUGGCGGUCCUUGCGGCUGUCCGAGUUGUAAUCUGGAGAAGUGCUUUCCGUGCUGGACCGUGUACAAGUCUCUUGGAACAGAGCGUCGUAGAGGGUGAGAAUCCCGUCUUUGACACGGACUACCAGUGCUUUGUGAUGCGCUCUCAAAGAGUCGAGUUGUUUGGGAAUGCAGCUCAAAAUGGGUGGUAAAUUCCAUCUAAAGCUAAAUAUUGGCGAGAGACCGAUAGCGAACAAGUACCGUGAGGGAAAGAUGAAAAGAACUUUGGAAAGAGAGUUAAACAGUACGUGAAAUUGCUGAAAGGGAAACACUUGAAGUCAGUCGCGUUGGCCGGAACUCAGCCUUGCUUUUGCUUGGUGCACUUUCUGGUUGACGGGUCAGCAUCAGUUUUGAUUGUCGGAUAAUGGUCGAGGGAAUGUGGCAUCUUCGGAUGUGUUAUAGCCCUUGGUCGCAUACGAUGGUUGGGACUGAGGAUCUCAGCACACCUUUAUGGUCGGGGUUCGCCCACGUUUGUGCUUAGGAUGCUGGCAUAAUGGCUUUAAAUGACCCGUCUUGAAACACGGACCAAGGAGUCUAACAUGCAUGCGAGUGUUUGGGUGGAAAACCCGAGCGCGUAAUGAAAGUGAAAGUUGAGACCUCUGUCGUGGAGGGCAUCGACGCCCGGACCAGACCUUCUGUGACGGCUCUGCGGUAGAGCAUGUAUGUUGGGACCCGAAAGAUGGUGAACUAUGCCUGAAUAGGGUGAAGCCAGAGGAAACUCUGGUGGAGGCUCGUAGCGAUUCUGACGUGCAAAUCGAUCGUCAAAUUUGGGUAUAGGGGCGAAAGACUAAUCGAACCAUCUAGUAGCUGGUUCCUG